rnacentral:tRNA from 1 species
UCAAAAUACUGGUCUUGUAAACCAGCAAUGAAGGAAACAUCCUUCCUAGGACA